rnacentral:rRNA from 1 species
UACGUAGGGACCAAGCGUUGUUCGGAUUUACUGGGCGUAAAGGGCGCGUAGGCGGCAAUUCAAGUCAGCUGUGAAAUCUCCGGGCUUAACUCGGAACGGUCAGCUGAUACUGCUUUGCUAGAGUGCAGAAGGGGCAAUCGGAAUUCUUGGUGUAGCGGUGAAAUGCGCAGAUAUCAGGAGGAACACCAAUUGCGAAGGCAGCUCGCUGGGACGUUACUGACGCUGAGGCGCGGAAAGCCAGGGGAGCGAACGGG